CAGGAUCACGAAUUUAUCGUGUUUUUUCAGUCUCUAGCCUUUCUCUGGCAUCGCUGAACACAGGUGAUAACGAGAGUGUUCACUCAGGCAAGAGGACACCAAGGUCAGAGUCUGUGGAAGGCUUCUUAUCUCCAAGUCGCUGUGGCAGUCGAAAUGGAGAAAAGGACUGGGAAAACGCAUCAACAACCUCCUCAGUGGCUUCUGGAACAGAAUAUACAGGACCAAAGCUCUACAAAGAACCCAGUGCAAAAUCUAAUAAACACAUAAUACAAAAUGCCUUAGCUCAUUGCUGUUUGGCUGGAAAAGUAAAUGAAGGUCAGAAGAAAAAAAUACUGGAGGAAAUGGAGAAGUCAGAUGCCAACAACUUCCUGAUCUUGUUCCGGGAUUCAGGCUGCCAGUUCAGGUCUUUGUAUACAUAUUGCCCAGAAACUGAAGAAAUCAAUAAGCUGACUGGGAUAGGCCCUAAAUCCAUCACUAAAAAAAUGAUUGAGGGACUUUACAAAUACAAUUCUGACAGGAAACAGUUUAGCCACAUACCUGCUAAAACUUUAUCUGCCAGUGUUGAUGCAAUUACCAUUCAUAGCCAUUUAUGGCAGACCAAAAGACCAGUAACACCCAAGAAACUUUUACCUACUAAGGCAUAGGAGUUGGGAAAUACCUGCUUCAGAACAUUUGUGGUAAGUUUGCACUUCCUCUUUCCUGCCUAUAGAAAACCUUUCUAAUUGCCAACAGACUUUAUUCAUUAAAACUGGACAUUAACUGUUGUCAUGAACAACUGGAAUGUACACCACAGUAUUUUGGAAUGCAGAAGAUUCUCACUUGGGAGAUAAGUCUCAGUGAUGAAGGAAAUAUUUGAUUCACAAGUGGAGACUUCUAUGUGUUGCCAGGUUUGCCUGCUGGUAGUAGAGACAGUGAAGCACUGAGUUCAUGGACACAGUGGGACUAUGGUUGAAAUGUGGCUAGGAUUGCAAAUUAUGUGUUGUGUUUGUUGCUUUUUUUUUUUUUAACCUUUUACUGUAUAUACUUGUCUUCAGAUGAUUUAUUUUGUUGCUUUUCUCUCUUGGGAGUUUAUUCUAAGAUACCUUUGUAUUUUGUUCUAUGUGGAGAUCAUGAAAGUAGGAAGUACACCGUCAGAAGUAACUCGCACCUUUCUUAUGAUGUUAAGAAAAACACUAGUGUUAUGUUUUACAAUAAGCCUCAUGUUUUAAUGGUGUUAUAGCAUUUGCAAAAAUUAUUCUAAGUAUUUACAAUUCUGUAUUAUUUAUUCACUCAAGUAUUAACAUUUCUCUACUAAAUAAGAGGAGGUGUAAAGAGCUGCUAAAUAGUUUGCUUUAAACCACAUGAGCUUAACCAAGAAUAUGUUCUAAGAAGUUGCUGAUUAAAUCAGUGCUGUUUCACACCACUCUGGCCAACUUAGAAUAAUUUAGAUUGUUCUUUUAACAAAAAAAACCUUUCUAUAUCUUUUAAAGUAAGUCACUUUAUAAGCUGGCAGAAAUGAAUGACACUUUGAGAGUAGUCUUUCAGUAUGAAGAUGUAAGACUUCCUGAAACAAGUUCUCAGGGGGUCUUUACAUUAUAUUUAUAACUGAUAUAAAAUUAUAUUUAGAAUUUUAAAACAUGUACAAAGGGCUACAUUUUAAUUUUAAAAUAGCUUCACAUUAUUUUACUUCUAUUGAGUUUUUCUUCUUUUUAAUCCUUUUAAAGUGGAACAGCUUAGAUUAAGGACACACUUGAAAUCUCCUCUCAUGAUCUUUGUUCUUUAGCAAUGUAUACCAGAGGGUUAGUUGGGGAAAACCUUCAUUCUCAGGAAAAGACUUGAAUGAUUAUGUGACCCUGUUAUGUUUCAGUGUUGUGACAACUGUGUAAACUGGGCGGGGGGGCGGGGAAGACAGUAUUGUAUCAUAAAUGAGAUGUGUGGUUUGUUUUCUUUCAUGGAUGUAGAGAUGAAAAAUAUAUACAUUUCUCUGAGUUGUUUGGAAAGAAAACUAAUGUCUCACACGAUGCAUUUAUUUUAAAAACAGAUAGGAAGGAGAUGGCCUGAGCUGUACUUUCUAUCAUGAGGCCUUCAGGCAUCGGUGCAUCUGGGUUAUCAACAUUUUCUCAAAUGCUGUCAAUAUUUUACUGUAAUUUAUGUUCUUAUAUUUAUGUAUAUUUGUUAAAACUGUAAAAAAAAUUUCACAGAUUUUUUUUCUCAAUACUUGUGCAAGAUAUAUGUGUAGCUCAAAACUAUUCGUGAUCUGCUGUUUGCAUGUAAGAGACCAGGCUAUGUAGCUCUUAUAUUUUCAUUGUAUACAUAUUAUGUAUAUAGUAUAUGAAUAUUAAAAUGGGGAAUUGCACAUUUUACCUUUCAGACAAGUUCUAUUACAAUGAGAAAGAAAUGAUCAUCAAAUACAUGUUUGUUUAGAUUAGGACUAGUUUAAAAAUUCUAAGCGAACCUAAUCAAAAUGUGGUGCAUAAUAGUCAAAAGAAGGAUUUAAUAAGCAUUUUACAUUACUAAAUUUUCUUUUCAGCCAGUUAAGUUUUCCUUAUCAAAGAAAUCUUGAUUAUUCCCUGGGAAUUACAUAAGGAAGAACUGGGCGCAAGACAGUGGAGGAACUGUCUCAGGCUAACAGGCUGACUGCCCUUGUCCCUAAACGUGAGUGUCCAUGUGUCUGAAGGUAGAAUGUGAAUAUGGCCGCAAAGUUCAUUGCUCUCAGUAUAACAUUUUACUUUAUUAAUGCAAAAGGAAUACGGAUAUAUUUAAGUCUGCAGAUUUUUUAAUGAUGGUGCAGCUUUUUUACAAUUAUGUUUUAAAUUAUACAAAUGAAAACUAGCUAUUUCAUAAAGUUGAGGGAUUUCUGUCAACCUUACUGAAAUACACUGGUGCUUUCAUCAUCAGAGGUCAAAUUAUUAUUACAAUUAUUGAAUUGAAUUUGCCAAACACAGUCCUAGCUACCAGUGUAGCCUGUCAGAUUCUGCUAUUUGACACAGCUUUGGAAAGCUUUUAAUUCCUCUUGGCUUUUCGAUUUUGUUUCAGAAUGACUGUUACAGUUUUUAUUUGGCUGUUUAAAGCCAGAGUCAGCUAUUUUAAUUAUGAUUUCACAGACACUGUUGGGCAAUGUAUGGUGUAUGGCGUGUUUACCUGUCCACUCUAGAGCAUUGCUUACAGGUUUGUAAAAGAUGCUGUGCUGUAAAAUACUGUCGUAUUUGCUAUUUCCUGGUACAGUGUAGUUCCCCUCGCGUUUGAAUAAAAGCAUGGCACCAAAUGA